rnacentral:rRNA from 1 species
UGGGGAAUAUUGCACAAUGGGCGAAAGCCUGAUGCAGCGACGCCGCGUGAGGGAUGACUGCCUUCGGGUUGUAAACCUCUUUCAGCUCCGACGAAGCGAAAGUGACGGUAGGAGCAGAAGAAGCACCGGCCAACUACGUGCCAGCAGCCGCGGUAAUACGUAGGGUGCAAGCGUUGUCCGGAAUUAUUGGGCGUAAAGAGCUCGUAGGCGGCUUGUCGCGUCGGCUGUGAAAACCUGGGGCUCAACCCCGGGCCUGCAGCCGAUACGGGCAAGCUAGAAUUCGGUAGGGGAGACUGGAAUUCCUGGUGUAGCGGUGAAAUGCGCAGAUAUCAGGAGGAACACCGGUGGCGAAGGCGGGUCUCUGGGCCGAUAUUGACGCUGAGGAGCGAAAGCGUGGGGAGCGAACA